GAUGAACGCUAGCUACAGGCUUAACACACGCAAGUCGAGGGGCAGCACUAGGUAGCAAUACUGAGGUGGCGACCGGCGCACGGGUGCGUAACGCGUAUCCAACCUUCCCGAUACUCUUGGAUAGCCUUCCGAAAGGGAGAUUAAUACAAGAUGGUGUUUCACUUUCGCAUGUUAUUGAAACUAAAGAUUUAUCGGUAUCGGAUGGGGAUGCGUGACAUUAGGUAGAUGGCGGGGUAACGGCCCACCAUGCCUACGAUGUCCAGGGGUUCUGAGAGGAAGGUCCCCCACAUUGGAACUGAGACACGGUCCAA
rnacentral:rRNA from 1 species